CCUUCGAUAGCUCAGUUGGUAGAGCGGAGGACUGUAGGAGAGAGUGCUGUGGAAAUCCUUAGGUCGCUGGUUCAAAUCCGGCUCGAAGGA
rnacentral:tRNA from 1 species